GUACAACUCUUAGCGGUGGAUCACUCGGCUCGUGAGUCGAUGAAGAACGCAGCCAGCUGCGAGAACUAAUGUGAAUUG
rnacentral:rRNA from 8 species